GACGAACGCUGGCGGCGUGCUUAACACAUGCAAGUCGAACGGAAAGGCCCUGCUUUUGUGGGGUGCUCGAGUGGCGAACGGGUGAGUAACACGUGAGUAACCUGCCCUUGACUUUGGGAUAACUUCAGGAAACUGGGGCUAAUACCGGAUAGGAGCUCCUGCUGCAUGGUGGGGGUUGGAAAGUUUCGGCGGUUGGGGAUGGACUCGCGGCUUAUCAGCUUGUUGGUGGGGUAGUGGCUUACCAAGGCUUUGACGGGUAGCCGGCCUGAGAGGGUGACCGGCCACAUUGGGACUGAGAUACGGCCCAGACUCCUACGGGAGGCAGCAGUGGGGAAUAUUGCACAAUGGGCGGAAGCCUGAUGCAGCAACGCCGCGUGCGGGAUGACGGGCUUCGGGUUGUAAACCGCUUUCGCCUGUGACGAAGCGUGAGUGACGGUAAUGAGUAAAGAAGCACCGGCUAACUACGUG
rnacentral:rRNA from 1 species